rnacentral:rRNA from 1 species
CCUACGGGCGGCAGCAGUGGGGAAUAUUGCACAAUGGGCGCAAGCCUGAUGCAGCCAAGCCGCGUGUGUGAAGAAGGCCUUCGGGUUGUAAAGCACUUUCAGCGGGGAGGAAGGCGUUAAGGUUAAUAACCUUGUCGAUUGACGUUACCCGCAGAAGAAGCACCGGCUAACUCCGUGCCAGCAGCCGCGGUAAUACGGAGGGUGCAAGCGUUAAUCGGAAUUACUGGGCGUAAAGCGCACGCAGGCGGUCUGUCAAGUCGGAUGUGAAAUCCCCGGGCUCAACCUGGGAACUGCAUUCGAAACUGGCAGGCUAGAGUCUUGUAGAGGGGGGUAGAAUUCCAGGGGUAGCGGUGAAAUGCGUAGAGAUCUGGAGGAAUACCGGUGGCGAAGGCGGCCCCCUGGACAAAGACUGACGCUCAGGUGCGAAAGCGUGGGGAGCAAACAGGAUUAGAUACCCUAGUAGUC